GAUGAACGCUGGCGGCGUGCCUAAUACAUGCAAGUCGAGCGCCUGCACUUUGAUCAUAAUAUAUUUUGUGAUCAGUGUGCAGGAGCGGCGGACGGGCGAGUAGCGCGUGAGAAUGUACCCCAAACUGAGGGAUAAGCUCGAGAAAUCGAGUCUAAUACCGCAUGUGAUCUACGGAUUAAAGCUUCGGCGGUUUGGGAACAGCUUGCGUAUGAUUAGCUAGUUGGUAAGGUAAAGGCUUACCAAGGCUACAAUCAUUAGCUGGUCUGAGAGGAUGAUCAGCCACACUGGAACUGAGACACGGUCCAG
rnacentral:rRNA from 1 species